CCUACGGGAGGCAGCAGUGAGGAAUAUUGGUCAAUGGGCGAGAGCCUGAACCAGCCAAGUCGCGUGAAGGAUGACGGCCCUACGGGUUGUAAACUUCUUUUGUCAGGGAGCAAUUGGGUCCACGCGUGGGCUUAGCGAGAGUACCUGAAGAAAAAGCAUCGGCUAACUCCGUGCCAGCAGCCGCGGUAAUACGGAGGAUGCGAGCGUUAUCCGGAUUUAUUGGGUUUAAAGGGUGCGUAGGCGGAAUAUCAAGUCAGCGGUAAAAAUUCGGGGCUCAACCCCGUCGUGCCGUUGAAACUGAUGUUCUUGAGUGGGCGAGAAGUAUGCGGAAUGAGUAGUGUAGCGGUGAAAUGCUUAGAUAUUACUCAGAACACCGAUUGCGCAGGCAGCUUGCUAAUCCGCAUCUGACGCUGAUGCACGAAAGCGUGGGUAGCGAACAGGAUUAGAUACCCGAGUAGUC
rnacentral:rRNA from 1 species